rnacentral:rRNA from 1 species
UACGGGGGGAGCAAGCGUUGUUCGGAUUUACUGGGCGUAAAGGGCGCGUAGGCGGCACCGCAAGUCGACUGUGAAAUCUCCGGGCUUAACCCGGAAAGGUCAGCCGAUACUGCGGGGCUAGAGUGCAGAAGGGGCAACUGGAAUUCUCGGUGUAGCGGUGAAAUGCGUAGAUAUCGAGAGGAACACCUGCGGCGAAGGCGGGUUGCUGGGCUGACACUGACGCUGAUGCGCGAAAGCCAGGGGAGCGAACGGG